GGUUCUUCUUCAUUCAUUGUCCUGCAGCAGAUGAAGAACUUUGGAAGAAUAGCUGUGUGUGGAAGUAUCUCCACCUACAAUGACAGUGAACCCCAGACAGGGCCGUACUCCUAUUUCACUGUGAUCCUGAAACAGCUGAAGAUGGAGGGCUUCAUAUACAGCAGGUGGCAGCACAAGAACCAUGAGACCCUCAAGAGACUGUUGGCGUGGGUGAAAGAGGGCAAACUGCAGUGUCGG